GCUCGGGUGGUGGAAUGGCAGACACGUAUGUUUGAGGUGCAUAUGGCGCAAGCCGUGGGGGUUCAAGUCCCCCCCCGAGCACCA
rnacentral:tRNA from 1 species